rnacentral:rRNA from 1 species
AUUGAACGCUGGCGGCAGGCUUAACACAUGCAAGUCGAGCGGGGUGAUGGUGCUUGCACUAUCACUUAGCGGCGGACGGGUGAGUAAUGCUUAGGAAUCUGCCUAUUAGUGGGGGACAACAUCUCGAAAGGGAUGCUAAUACCGCAUACGUCCUACGGGAGAAAGCAGGGGAUCACUUGUGACCUUGCGCUAAUAGAUGAGCCUAAGUCGGAUCAGCUAGUUGGUGGGGUAAAGGCCUACCAAGGCGACGAUCUGUAGCGGGUCUGAGAGGAUGAUGCGCCACACUGGGACUGGGACACGGCCCCGACUCCUACGGGAGGCAGCAUUGGGGAAUAUGGGACAAUGGGGGGAACCCUGAUCCAGCCAUGCCGCGUGUGUGAAGAAGGCCUUAUGGUUGUAAAGCACUUUAAGCGAGGAGGAGGCUCUUUUGGUUAAUACCCAGAAUGAGUGGACGUUACUCGCAGAAUAAGCACCGGCUAACUCUGUGCCAGCCGCCGCCGUAACAC